rnacentral:tRNA from 1 species
GGAGAGAUGCCUGAGUGGCCGAAAGGAACGGUUUGCUAAACCGUCGUAGGGGUCAAACUCUACCGCGGGUUCGAAUCCCGCUCUCUCCGCCA